rnacentral:rRNA from 1 species
AAAUUGAAGAGUUUGAUCAUGGCUCAGAUUGAACGCUGGCGGCAGGCCUAACACAUGCAAGUCGAACGGUAACAGGAAGCAGCUUGCUGCUUCGCUGACGAGUGGCGGACGGGUGAGUAAUGUCUGGGAAACUGCCUGAUGGAGGGGGGAUAACUACUGGAAACGGUAGCUAAUACCGCAUAACGUCGCAAGACCAAAGAGGGGGACCUUCGGGCCUCUUGCCAUCGGAUGUGCCCAGAUGGGAUUAGCUAGUAGGUGGGGUAACGGCUCACCUAGGCGACGAUCCCUAGCUGGUCUGAGAGGAUGACCAGCCACACUGGAACUGAGACACGGUCCAGACUCCUACGGGAGGCAGCAGUGGGGAAUAUUGCACAAUGGGCGCAAGCCUGAUGCAGCCAUGCCGCGUGUAUGAAGAAGGCCUUCGGGUUGUAAAGUACUUUCAGCGGGGAGGAAGGCGAUAAGGUUAAUAACCUUGUCGAUUGACGUUACCCGCAGAAGAAGCACCGGCUAACUCCGUGCCAGCAGCCGCGGUAAUACGGAGGGUGCAAGCGUUAAUCGGAAUUACUGGGCGUAAAGCGCACGCAGGCGGUCUGUCAAGUCGGAUGUGAAAUCCCCGGGCUCAACCUCGGGAACUGCAUUCGAAACUGGCAGGCUAGAGUCUUGUAGAGGGGGGUAGAAUUCCGAGGUGUAGCGGUGAAAUGCGUAGAGAUCUGGAGGAAUACCGGUGGCGAAGGCGGCCCCCCUGGACAAAGACUGACGCUCAGGUGCGAAAGCGUGGGGAGCAAACAGGAUUAGAUACCCUCGGUAGUCCACGCCGUAAACGAUGUCGACUUGGAGGUUGUGCCCUUGAGGCGUGGCUUCCGGAGCUAACGCGUUAAGUCGACCGCCACCGGGGAGUACGGCCGCAAGGUUAAAACUCAAAUGAAUUGACGGGGGCCCGCACAAGCGGUGGAGCAUGUGGUUUAAUUCGAUGCAACGCGAAGAACCUUACCUACUCUUGACAUCCAGAGAACUUAGCAGAGAUGCUUUGGUGCCUUCGGGAACUCUGAGACAGGUGCUGCAUGGCUGUCGUCAGCUCGUGUUGUGAAAUGUUGGGUUAAGUCCCGCAACGAGCGCAACCCUUAUCCUUUGUUGCCAGCGGUUAGGCCGGGAACUCAAAGGAGACUGCCAGUGAUAAACUGGAGGAAGGUGGGGAUGACGUCAAGUCAUCAUGGCCCUUACGAGUAGGGCUACACACGUGCUACAAUGGCGCAUACAAAGAGAAGCGACCUCGCGAGAGCAAGCGGACCUCAUAAAGUGCGUCGUAGUCCGGAUUGGAGUCUGCAACUCGACUCCAUGAAGUCGGAAUCGCUAGUAAUCGUGGAUCAGAAUGCCACGGUGAAUACGUUCCCGGGCCUUGUACACACCGCCCGUCACACCAUGGGAGUGGGUUGCAAAAGAAGUAGGUAGCUUAACCUUCGGGAGGGCGCUUACCACUUUGUGAUUCAUGACUGGGGUGAAGUCGUAACAAGGUAACCGUAGGGGAACCUGCGGUUGGAUCACCUCCUUA